CAAAACUAGGGUCGGUAUUGUACACAACGACUCGCACUUCGCCGACUGUCUAUUUAAAACGGUCUGAAGUCGAGGAACCCAAUAACCCACUUUUAUACUUUACCAUCUAUCGUUUGCUUCGUCAUUUGGGUUUUCCGAUUGCAGUAAUGCAUAAAAAACUAGGAAAUGGCUGAUUGUUAAGUGUUGUGUGCGUCCGGCUGUCUUUUUUUU
rnacentral:telomerase_RNA from 1 species